rnacentral:rRNA from 1 species
GACGAACGCUGGCGGCGUGCUUAACACAUGCAAGUCGAACGGACGGGCUCUGCCUUUGUGGGGUCCCCGAGUGGCGAACGGUUGAGUAACACCUCACUAAUUUGCCCUUGCCUUUGGGAUAACUUCCGAAAACUGGAUCUAAUACCGCCUCCGAGCUCCCCCUGCAUGGCGUGGGUUGGAAAGUUUCGGCGGUGGGGGCGGCACUCGCGACUUAUCAGCUGGUCGGUGGGUUACUGGCGCACCAAGGCUGUGACGGGUAGCCGGCCUGCGCGGGUGACCGGCCACAUUGGGACUGGGAUACGGCCCAGACGGAGACAGGAGGCAGCAAUGGGGAAUAAUGGACGAUGGGCUGAAGCAUGAAGGAGGAACGCCGCGUGCGGGAUGACGGCCUGCGGGUUGUAGACCGCUUGCGGCAGGGAGGGAGAGUGGGAGGAGGGAAUGGGUAUAGAAGCACCGGCUAACUACGUG